CUUAUUCUUCCUCUUGACUUUUAAAAAAUAUUCUGAAUUGAAGACUACUAACAGACGAAAUUCACAACUAAAAAACUGACCGACAACGUUGAGAAGGGUUCCAAGCAGAGUAGUGAGAGAAGCUCCUCCUUCUCUUUUGACCCCCCUCUCUCCGUUCCACUUUAUCAUUUUCUUCAUCGUCUUCCAUGUUCUGCCUCUGAUCUCUAGCACUAACAUGCACCCCACCCAUCCCUCUAUCUGAGGUUUGGAUCUGAUUCUGUUUGGGCUCUUGAGGUUGGGUUUGGCGGUUGAUGUUCUAGACCUUGAGUAACGGAUCUGGUGUCUCCAUGGCCCCCACCCUCAUCUUGCAUAUUCACUCUCAGCCUUGCUCCAAAAUUGGCCCACCCACUCAGUGCCUUUCUCCUUCUCAUUCUUGGUUAUAUUUUGAGGUUAUCUGGCAUCUCCUAAUAUACUUUCCCGGAAGCUAUUUUCUUACUAGUUUAUAGGCAAAGUCCAGUGGCCUACUAGCGUUUCUCAUCUUGCUCAUGUUAGUAGGGGAGAAUGAUGAUGGUUUUCGAUUUGAGCAGUUUGGAUCUAGUUUUGGUGCCUCGGUUUUGAGGUGUGUUUGGUCCAUUAUGGUGUGGCUCUGCUGUGGUGAAGUUUUAAAUUGAAGUUUUCUUCGAUGGGUCUAAUCAAUUUGGACGAUUACCCAAGUUGAUUCCCCUUUGCUUCUUGCUUUUUCCCUUUAGUGGAGUCAAUUUGGUGUUUUAGCAGUUCUGGUGGCCUUAUCAGUUCGUUAUGAUUAUAUGGUUUAUUUCUAUUUUCGGCUGAUUGGGUUUGUUCUUGAGAGGGGUUAUGGUUCCAACCAGUUUGAUAUGUCAAAUAUGUUUUGGCUGAUUGAUUACCUGGAUUGCUAGUCUUGUCUUUGUUGCUUUUGCUUUGUUCAAAUUUGUCGCAGGCAUUUCGCCAGUACUGUUGGGGUAGCAGUAGAUGGUUUUCAUGGCUGGUUUGUUGGCACACGGUUUUAGUCUGGGACAAUGUGUUAUGGGUCUCUACUGGUCAUGGGUUUUUGCGUUGGGGCAAUAACUUUGAUUUUUUUUAAUUCCCUUCAGCUCUGAUUUACUUGUAUAAUUUUGAACUUUCUACAUUUUGCACAAAUGUUAGACCAUUUUAAAUCUCCAUUGAAGAGACUAUAGAGAUGUAUAUUAAACAGGUGUGUAUGUGACGUUCCCAAAAUAGGUAUACAUCACUUAUUCUGAGUUGCUAAAUACAUGGUACAAAAAUAAAUAUAACUUUAGUAAUAUAAUUGUCGUGCAGAAUACGACAACGUCUAUAUUGUAAGUUUGAAUACAAAUAUUGUAUAUUAGAGAGUAUAUAAACUCAAAAAGAGUUCUCAUUACAAUUAUUCAAAUAUUAUUUUACAGAAAUAGUGAGGACUGCUAAAACAUCUUUCUAGAACCAUCACUCCGUACCACGACUAGUUCUUGCUAUGUUCUCACUUCUUGAGAAAAAUGGAACAAAAAGGAAAAGGG
rnacentral:lncRNA from 1 species